rnacentral:pre_miRNA from 1 species
AGUGGGAUAGCUUGGUCAAAUGGUGGUUCCAUUCCUAAUUUUCCAAGGAAUCUCCAUACUGCUUUCCAUAUUGGCUGCACCAAUUUGCAGUCCCACCAGCAAU